rnacentral:tRNA from 1 species
GGAGGAGUGGCCGAGUGGUCGAUGGCGGCGGUCUUGAAAACCGUUGACGUGAGAGCGUCCGUGGGUUCGAAUCCUACCUCCUCCGCCA